GACGAACGCUGGCGGCGUGCCUAAUACAUGCAAGUAGAACGCACAGUUUAUACCGUAGCUUGCUACACCAUAGACUGUGAGUUGCGAACGGGUGAGUAACGCGUAGGUAACCUGCCUGGUAGCGGGGGAUAACUAUUGGAAACGAUAGCUAAUACCGCAUAAUAUUAAUUAUUGCAUGAUAAUUAAUUGAAAGGUGCAAUUGCACCACUACCAGAUGGACCUGCGUUGCAUUAGCUAGUAGGUGAGGUAACGGCUCACCUAGGCGACGAUACAUAGCCGACCUGAGAGGGUGAUCGGCCACACUGGGACUGAGACACGGCCCAGACUCCUACGGGAGGCAGCAGUAGGGAAUCUUCGGCAAUGGACGAAAGGCUGACCGAGCAACGCCGCGUGAGUGAAGAAGGUUGUCGGAUCGUAAAGCUCUGUUGUAAGAGAAGAACGGGUGUGAGAGUGGAAAGUUCACACUGUGACGGUAUCUUACCAGAAAGGGACGGCUAACUACGUG
rnacentral:rRNA from 1 species